rnacentral:rRNA from 1 species
UACGUAGGGGGCGAGCGUUGUCCGGAUUUACUGGGUGUAAAGGGCGCGUAGGCGGAUUUGUUAGUCAGGGGUGAAAUCUCACGGCUUAACCGUGAAACUGCCUCUGAUACUGCAAAUCUUGAGUUCGGAAGAGAGUAGCGGAAUUCCAGGUGUAGUAGUGAAAUACGUAGAUAUCUGGAAGAACACCAGUGGCGAAGGCGGCUACUUGGUCCGUAACUGACGCUGAGGCGCGAAAGCGUGGGGAG